ACUGAAGCCUCGACCAAGCUCGCACAGAGGGCGAAUGGUCCAGCCGGAAACUCACGUAGCCUCAGGAGUCCUGUUUAAUAAUCUGGGGUCACAGGAUGCAGCAACACAGCGAUUGUCCUCUCUGAUUGGCUGCACUGGUCAGUUUUUUCUCAUGAAGGCAUAGAACAAUGGAUCUGAUAAAUAUACUCAAUGCACCACAGAAGAUAUCUGUGAUCCCACUGCCCAGUUCCUCAGCUAAACCCACAGGUAAAUAAACUAUUUGUUGUUGGACAUGUCCUUACACAAAUUAGCAGAUGGAACUGACUCUCAGAUGAAAAAAGCCUGAUGGGUGGGUUGUUUAAAACUAAGUUAGUUUCCCUAAACACCUCAUGAAAUUAAAUUAGGAGACAAGCCUCACAUUAAGUGUGGUAAAAAUGGAAUGAAAUAAUUUUGAAAAAUAAAAAAAUAGUGGCAUGUUGAUAAAGCCAC
rnacentral:lncRNA from 1 species